GAUGAACGCUGGCGGCGUGCCUAAUACAUGCAAGUCGAGCGAACAGACGAGGAGCUUGCUCCUUCGACGUUAGCGGCGGACGGGUGAGUAACACGUAGGUAACCUACCUAUAAGACUGGGAUAACUUCGGGAAACCGGAGCUAAUACCGGAUAAUAUUUCGAACCGCAUGGUUCGAUAGUGAAAGAUGGCUUUGCUAUCACUUAUAGAUGGACCUGCGCCGUAUUAGCUAGUUGGUAAGGUAACGGCUUACCAAGGCAACGAUACGUAGCCGACCUGAGAGGGUAAUCGGCCACACUGGAACUGAGACACGGUCCAGACUCCUACGGGAGGCAGCAGGAGGGAAUCUUCCGCAAUGGGCGAAAGCCUGACGGAGCAACGCCGCGUGAGUGAUGAAGGUCUUCGGAUCGUAAAACUCUGUUAUUAGGGAAGAACAAACGUGUAAGUAACUGUGCACGUCUUGACGGUACCUAAUCAGAAAACCACGGCUAACUACGUG
rnacentral:rRNA from 1 species